rnacentral:sRNA from 1 species
AAACCUUGUGCUGAGCCUUGUGCCACCGUCAGUCCGCGGCGCCACAAGCCUCGGUGUUUACUGCUGCCGCCUGCCGGCCGGGCGGGGAAGGGGGGACCCGGCCACCCCUCACUUCAGCUCCUGCAGCUUCCCAAACAAACCCGGGCGGGAUGGGAGUGUCUUCUUGGCCGUGGAAAUCGAUCCUCCUACCUUGUCCUGAAGCCGCCCGCCGCCUUUCCUCGUCCCUCCCUUCGCGGUGAUUUUCCGGUCCCGGCGCCCGGCGAGGGCGCGCGGCUGGUGUCCGCCCCGCCCGAAAGCAUUUGCAAGUGAGGAAGCAGCACAACCCUGGGUCUUAGAUAAUUUCUAACAGAGAGGCCCCAGCAAUUCAGCAGGCAGCGUCCUGAGUCUUUGGCAGCCUGGUCCCUCUUUAGCAAAUUCUCCACCUUUGCCAACAGAGGGUCUUUAGGACACAGAUUCUUAAAAGUGCAGGUGAGCCAGCCAUGAGAGGGUAUCUUGUGGCCAUAUUCCUGAGUGCUGUCUUCCUCUAUUAUGUACUGCAUUGCAUAUUAUGGGGAACGAAUGUCUAUUGGGUGGCACCUGUGGAAAUGAAACGGAGAAAUAAGAUCCAGCCUUGUUUAUCAAAGCCAGCUUUUGCCUCUCUGCUGAGGUUUCAUCAGUUUCACCCUUUUCUGUGUGCAGCUGAUUUUAGAAAGAUUGCUUCCUUGUAUGGUAGCGAUAAGUUUGAUUUGCCCUAUGGGAUGAGAACAUCAGGUCAGUAGUAUUAUUCUUAUCUGGUUCUGUUAAAUUUGAGUGGUGUUUGAUGA